rnacentral:lncRNA from 1 species
AGAAACACAAGCAAAGAAUAUUUUAAAAGGAGUGAGAGAUUUUGAAAUUAAAGAAGUGGGGAGGAGAUGAAGAGACUAAUCCUAGGCACAAAUUUAAAAGUUGAGAGUUGAAAAGAUCUGACCAAUGGGCUGCAAUCCAAUAGACAAGAAUGUCAUAUAAAAAUCCAAAUUUCCCUUGGACUUUAGAGUCAAACAACAAUGCAAAUACACAAAUAGAAAGUUGAAGAGUA